GAAGCCUUAGCUUAAUUAAAGUGCCUGAGUUGCAAUUAGAUGAUGUGGAUUAAAGUUCUACAGGUUU
rnacentral:tRNA from 1 species